AGUUGAGAAGCACAAGAAGCACCAUUUCACCUUAGGAAUUUUGCUCAUUCUCUCUCCAUGUGUUGAUGUCACUGUCUUUAUUGCUGUUAAAACUCUUCUAUAUACUACUUUGUUCUCACACUUCGGACACACUUGUGGAGAGAGCAAGAGACAGAGAGAAAGAGAGAACAAACAAGGAGCUUCUGUUUCUAGCUUCUAGCAACCUUCUUAGUUCAACAACACAAAGUCAGAAAAAUCUAUAAGCCUUUGUACUUAGCUCAGACAACUGAUUUGGUUAGCCAUGAACAACAGUGUUCCUGAUUGGAAUUUUGGGAGUGAUUCCUGUGUCACCACCACCAAUCAAAAGAAGCCCAUGAUAGGGGUGGACCAAGAGCUUGUAGAGCUUCAGUGGCAAAAUGGCCAGGUAGUGAUGCACAGCCAAACACACAGAAAACCGUUUGUGAAUUCCAUCACGCCGAGACCGCUUCGGAGGAAUUUUCAAUCAACAUUAAGGACUAGUGAGCCAUUUGGGAACUCAAGUAACUUGAUUCAAGAUGAUGAGACAGUCUCAUGGAUCCAAUACCCUCUUGAGGAUCCAUUGGAACAAGAGUUCUGUUCAAACCUUUUAUCUGAACUGGCACCUUGUGAAGUUGAGUCCUAUAAGCAAAUCAAGCCAUUUGAAGAGGGGAAGUUUACCAAAUUGGAUGCCUCUAGUACCCCCCAUGUGACUGAAACUUCGCAAUCACCUACCAUGAAAUCUUCCUCUUUUCAGGAAUUCUCAGGAAUUCCUAUACCUGCUCCAAGAUUCCAUGUUUCUGAUUCACCUCAGAAAAACAAUAAUGACUUGGGUGGAUCAUGUAAGGUCCAAAACUUCUCUCACUUUUCAGCACCUCUUAAUGUUUCUUCAGCAUCGGCUAACGCGCAUUUUAGGGACAAAAUUACUGGUAACAUGUCAAAAAAUGAGAUUAGAGAGUGCUCAUUGAUGACAGUUGGAUCAAGUUACUGUGGUAGCAAUCACAUCCCCCAAGAUCCAGAUGCAAGCAGGGCAUCAAGCAAUGGUGUCUGGACUACUACUUUAUCCGCCGAGCCUGAAGCUGUUAGAGACCAUGUGCCGAGAACAAGUCCUCAGAAUGAAAAAGGGAAAUCGGAGAUGCUUGAACCAACUACAACUUCAUCAUCCGGUGGCUCAGGUAGUAGUCUUGGAAAAAAUUGUUCGCUAUCUACGAGAAACCAGGGCCAAAAAAGAAAAGGAAUAGAUGUGGAAGAAUCUGAGGAGCAAAGUGAGGACACAGAACUUAAAUCAGCACUUGGAAACAAGUCAUCUCAACGUGCAGGGUUGGCUCGAAGGAACCGCGCUGCUGAAGUGCAUAAUCUAUCUGAAAGGAGAAGGAGAGACCGGAUCAAUGAGAAGAUGAAGGCAUUGCAACAACUCAUACCUCACAGUAGCAAGACAGACAAAGCAUCAAUGUUGGAAGAGGCAAUCGAAUACUUGAAAUCACUUCAGUUACAACUUCAGCUAAUGUGGAUGGGAUCUGGCAUGGCACCAAUUAUGUUUCCAGGAAUUCAGCACUAUAUGUCACAAAUGGGUAUGGGAAUGGCUACACCGCCUUUCCCUCCUAUUCACAAUCCGAUGCAAUUACCGAGACUGCCGCUUGAUCAGUCUGUAUCUGCGUCUCAGACACCAAACCAGACAUUAAUGAGCCAAAAUCCUAUUUUGGGUGCCUUUAAUUACCACAAUCAGAUGCAAAAUCCAGCUCUUUCAGAGCAAUAUGCGCGUUACAUGGGCUAUCAUCUUAUGCAAAAUGCCUCUCAGCCAAUGAAUGUAUUCAGAUAUGGUCCCCAGGGGGUACGGCAUAGUCAAACAAUGAUUACACCCAGCAACAGCAGUGGAAACAUGAGUGGAGCAGCAAAUAUUGAUGAGGCUGUGAGUGGCAAAAUGGGUUAAUUAGUUUCAAAGCAUGCUUUUGAGUACCUAUGGCGUAACUAACAAGAUAAUUGCAAGAUGAUAGAAGCCCUUGUAAGGCUUGUAUGCUUUCACAAUAUGUCUGCCUGUUCAUACAGUGGCUGAUCUACAGUUAUGUGAGGGUCUAGGGUUCUUCCACCUUUAACUAAAAUAGCACUCAGCAUCUAAUCAAACAUCCUUAAUUGGAGGGUUUGGAUGGUGGAAUCAACCCUGAAAGCGCCAAGAUAUGUAUAUAUACUUCAAAUUUGUGUAGUAUGGUGGCCAUGCAAUUUAUAUCAAAUGAAGAGUUUUGUUGUUAAGAUUGUAGUAGACAGGUCCUUCAUUAUGGCCAGUUUUGUUCUCAGCUCAUUAUGUCCCAUCAGGUAGAGCAAUUUGGGCUGUUUGUAGAUCUGGGAAAGUAACAUGAUGAGCUAUGUUUUUUGGCUGAAAUAGGCAAUCAUUGUGUCUCAACUUAGCAAGAGAACAGUUAUGAAUUUAACCACUAUACACUUAAAAAGUGUAAAAACUUUUAUAUUCUCAA